GUUUUCUUAGUACAAACAGUACAGCUGGCUUCCAACCACCUAACCCCGAGUAACCCGGGAGAAAAUA
rnacentral:tRNA from 1 species